GUUAAAAUGGUCCUUUAAAAAAUAAUCAUGGAGUUUCAGCAGAAGUAAUACACUAAUACAGUAGGUUUCAGAUACCCCACGUUAAAAAGUGAGAUGUGAACCACCUGUGCAGAAUGCAUGACCUGAUACAGAAACGGGUCAGCGUGACCACACCUGGUGAGCAUUGGAGAGAUGAGAACAUUGAAAAGGUGAGUUGCUUCUCACCUACUAAAGUGAGACAAGGAAUUUCAGAAGAUCUUCUUGGAGGACUUGAUAUUUAUCCCCUGGAGUCUGCUGAACUCAGAGUGGAGGCCUGUUUCUUUCCAGGAGAAAUCCUGAGGAAAAAAAAAAAAAGAAAGAAACCAGUUCUUGGAAUCCAGCCACCACGCUGAGAGGAAGCCUGAGCAGCCGUGUGGAGAGGAACUAAGGUCCCUGACUGAGAGCCCUGGGCAAGCUCCCAGCCUGAAGCCAGCGUUAGUUGACCAGCUGUUAGUGAGUCACCUGGGAAGUGAAUACCACCAGUCCACUGAUGCCGUGUGGAGCAUAGGACCAGCUGCUGUGGCAUUGGAGCGGAGAUAAAUGUUAUCCCAUGUGUAAUAUAAACAAAUGGCUAAGUGAGGAUCAAUAUUAAUAUGAGAAAAUGAGGAGUCACUGAACUCAACAACAAUCUCCAUCCCCUCCCCCGGUGUUUGGCAUCAACUUGCCCACCUCAUGGAAUAAUUGCUGGUUGUCUGUGUUACCUACACACCACGAGCCAAGGAACUGAUGAUGCGGUCAUGACUUCCACAUUUUAACUAAGAAUGGUGAGCUGUGAAGGAGAGAAGGUUUGGCUUGAGCUCCACUUGGCAGGAAUUUCAUUUUCAAAGUACUUCACAAAGAAAAUAGAGAACCUAAGUAUGGACUGAUUUUAUUUUUGCCCGGACAUGGAGGAUUCUUUACCACUGAGGAAACAAGGAAGCCCAUUUUCUGUGACCUUUAAUGUGGAAAAGAUGAUGGAAUCUGUCUGGCAGUACAACACAUUCACUUCCUCUCCAGGGAUCUGAAAGGCUGUCCGCAGGAAAAACCGUGUGACAUGAUAACAAGAGCCUUGGAUCAGCAGUCUGGCUCCUGAUCCUGCCCUUGUCACUAUCUGGUGUGUGAUGCAAGGCUCAUCAUUUAUAUGUCAAUUCAAAUGCCCUCU
ensembl:lncRNA